CUUAGUCAUGAUGCAACAAGUCAAUGUCAAAAUAGGAAACGGUCUCUGGGAACAUCUAGUUCAGCCCCUUUGCGUUAGUCGGCGAAGAAUAUGGUGCGUGGAUGAUUAAGGGGCACAUUUAAAGUCACAGGACAAUCACGAUGAGAGAAAAAACAGAACUGGAACUUGAAAGUCUGGGGACAUACUGCUCUCUUCUUGGUAUUCUUCUCUCUGAAAUUCCAACCUUGGCAGAUGACCAAAGUGAACAGGGGGUGCCAAGGAAGGGAAAGGGAGAAGAAAAAGUACAUGGCACUCCUGAUCGAAGAUAAAGUUUGACUGUAAACUCCAAUCAUCUUUAAAGAGAGACUUCGGUGAUCAGACGGUAGCAGGAACUUUAUUUGAAGUUGUUAUGUUAGAAGAUCAAAGAAGAAAGGUGAACUAUGCAAGAGUAAGAUCAAAAAGAAGAAAUUUCAUUUUGAUUUUUAGAUAUCAAGGAAUAAUACAUACACUAAAGCCUAUUAGUGAUUGUCAAAGAGUAUAAAGGCAACAUCAAGUAUGCAGGUCGGAAUUGUUUUCAUUCUUUUAACUAAUAGCAAAUGUUAAUUUUACUUUGUCUUUCCUUGUAUGAGUUCCUGUCUACAUCUUUGCUAUGCAAACAUUCAUGUAAUUGUAUCAGACAUAUGAAAAUGGUCACAUUGCCAUAGAUUUCUAGAGGUAGGAUUUUCAUUUCUAUGUGGAAGAGGACAUAUUCUGCAUGGUAAAGGAAGCUUGUUUUAAUGUUUCAAAAAUAAUCCAAUGAACCUGCUUUGUUAUGUAGAAUGAAACACUUAUCCAAAAUAUGAUCUGGAAGUAGGGUACAAAACUUCAAAAAUGUCGAUGAGAAAUGUUAUGUGCCUAUGGGCUUCUCAGGUGAGUAAGUUAGAGCUUCUGGGGAGGGAACAAGACACUUCUGGAGAGAGCUGUGAACCAGCAACUCUAUGCAGGUACAACGGAGGAGGGACAACCCUGUGAUGUGGGAAGGGCACCUCAUCUCAUUUGUCCUACACUAAUGCCUCACAUCAAGUUUGAACAUAGUUUCUGCUUUGUUAAUUAGUUUUAUUGCCCACAAGCGUUAGUGAAACAAAACUCGCUCUCCAUCCAAAGGUUUAAGAUAAUGGUAAAAAGCUGUCUUCUCUAGUGUUGUAAUUUAUCAUCUCCAAACUUUCAGAGGUCUCUUCUGCACUCUCUACCAUGGCUUUGCAGCGUAUAAAAGUAAUGACAGAAACAGUGUUGAGUGAUAAAGAUGUGUGCUGAGAAAGAUUACUGAAAUUUGAAACAGACGAGAGGGAGAAAUUAGUGAGAUUUCGAAGGUAUGUAGUCUCAGGUUCUGUGUCAUCGUAGUCACCUUGCUGUGAGUAUUUAAAGUCAUGGACACAUGUGACCAGUAACCUGGUCUAUCUCUGGGCUUCCAAUGGCCAUCUGGUAUUUCUAAUGUGAAAAUAAACGUCUCAGCUGGAACUAACAGAGCUCUGGCGUGUAGUCACCAACAUCCUGAACCAAUCAAUAGCCACAAACGAGCUGAGCCAGAGGAACAGACUCACAAUGAGACCUAAAUAAGUCACACAGCAGCCUGGUAGUGAUGACAGUGACUCCUGAGCUAGGCCCAUAUUGGGGUGUCAUUUAAAAAGUUGUUCAGGCAGCUCAGCUUGUAUCUAGUAACUCCAUGAUUGCCAAUGACUCUACACACAAUAUUUCUACUCUAAUUAGAUGCAGCGGAUUCUGCUUUCUACUGUUUGCAUGUUCUAUGUAACAUGCUUAUUCUAAACUCCUCUAUGAGACAACACUCCGCUUGCUUCAACCUGCACCAUGGGCCUCUGGAGAAGGAAGUCAGAGUGAACAUGAUUUCUAUAGGAACAGAAAGAGCAGAAGCUGUUUCACAUACAUGUCAUUAAAAAAAAAGAAGAAGAAACCAAACAAAAACAACUGCACCAAAGAGAGACAGCAGAACCCUUUCCUAACACACAAAUGUUAGAACAAGUUCUGUAUCAGGCUUGUCUUCCCCAUCUAUUUUCCAUAUCUACACAGUUCAAGUUUUAAAAUUAUUAUAGAAUUAUGACCUCUUCUAAGCCAUUCCUACCCCAUAUGCCCCUCCCUACAAUUUUUCAUCUAACUGAUCUAAUUAGUUACAGAAUUUAUACAAUUUCAGCACAUAAAAUUUUCACAUACAAUUUUUGUAAGCAUCCUGCCCAGAUUAGUGUAACAUUUAAGCAAAUUCUCCCCUCACCACAAUUCCACUGUCCCAACUUAUAAAUUCAUAUUUUAGUUGGCGGAAGUCUUUGCUCUGGUAGUUUUGAUAAGAAUGUUAUGGAAACAAUAUUUCUUGAUUUUUUUUAUAUGUUUAAAAAUAUUUUUCCUUGGCUUUUAUUACUGCACAGCAGGGUAGCUGGACGUGAAAUACAACGAUGUUCUUUUCUGUGAGAACAUUGUGGAAGUUGUUUCAUGGUUGCUAGCAUUGAACAUAGUUCUGGAGAAGUCUGAGGCCAAACGUAUUUUUUUUCUUCUUGAAUAUCAAAAUCUCUGCAUUUUUUUUUCUGCUUGGAGGAGCAUAGAAGUAUUCUGAUAUGGUUAUAUUCAAUAACUUUUCUCAGGAACUAUUUUCAGAAUAAUCAAUCAGGGUUAACUCCUCUGGGACAUGUGUUACUCUUGAACAACUAUUAGAUGGUCUUCCAUUAUUAGCAAAAUAUUUCAUUUGUAGGAAUUGAUGAAAUUUUUGGCUAUUACAUUGGUGUUACGUCUGCUGAUAUUUUAUGGCUUUUCACAGUUCUCACUAUUCUUGAAACUUAUAUAAUAUUUUGUUGUUCACUGUCUAUCCUUUUAUCUUCUUCCAAAACUGCUUUUUCUCUAUAGUGAUUUUAUUUUUCUUUAUUUUAUUUCUUUUAUUUCCUUAUGUUAGUGGUGGUUGCAGCUGUUUAUAAUUUAAUAAUUACUUUUGUUUGUUUCCCUUUAAUUUAUCUGUUUACUUUGCAUCCCGAUUACUGGCCCUCUCUCCUGCCCUCAAACAGUCCCUUCCCCCAUCCCUUUUCCCCUUCUUCUCUGAGAAUGGGGAUCUCUCCCCGCUGUGUACCAAAGCACCCUGGUACAUCAAGGCACUGCAGUGGGAGAGGUGCAUCCAGACAAGGGAGAUCAAUUAGGGAACUGGGAUCCACAGGAAGGCAAUAUAUUCAGGGACAGCCCCUACUCUAGUUGUUGGGGAACCCACAUGAAGACCAAGACACACAUCUGCUACAUAUGUUACUUUCUCUGUCUGGAGAAGCGCAGAAGUGUUCUGAUAUGGUUAUAUUCAAUAACUUUUCUCAGGACCUAUAUAUUAUAGUAUAUUUGCAAUAGUAACUGCCAGGUUGUGAAUGAUAAAAGCUAUCCACCAGCAUCAUACCAAUUUUCACACACCAAUGUGCCAUGAGUUCUAAAAGCAUUGCCAACUAAAUUUUACCAGAGUACAUCCAAAAACAUAUGAUAGAAUUGUACAUCAUGGCCACAUAAAAUUUAUCCUAAGAAUACAAGAUGAUAUAAAUAUUAAAAAUAAUCAAAGUAUAUAAUGACUUAAUCAAUCAUAUGAAGAGAAAAGGAUAAAAACACAUGAUUAAUAAAAUGGCAAUAAUGCACAGUGUGGAUUUAAUGCAAUUCUAUCAAAAUUGAACCAUUUCUUGUGCACAUGAAUAAGGUGAUCAGAAAUUUGCCCAGAGAUGCAAGAAAUCCAAACUCGCUAAGCCAACAACAGAAAAGAAGAUUAAAAUUAUAAGAUUCAGACUUUUUCAUCUCAAGAUUUAUUUCAAUAUAUAAUAUAAUCAAGUCAGUGUAACACAAACAUAAAACAGAAGAGAACUGAGACUCAGAAAAUAUUUAAAAGCUCUAUACUAAUUGUCAUCUAAUCUCUAACAAGGGUGCUGAAAUAAUUCCAAGUAAGAAAAGCUAACCUUUCAACAACUCAUGCCCAAAAAUAACAGAUAUCCAUGUAUGUGGUCCCCUAAACACACAUAUACAAAUAUAAACUCAGAACAGAUCAAAGCUUUAAAUGUGCAUAACCGAAGUGCAUGGCUAAAAGUAUACCACUGUUAGAAAAAGACAUUGCCAUAAAUCUUUGUGAUCUAGAUUACACAAUUUCUUUGAUAAGACAUCAAAAGCAUGAGGAGGAAAAGAAAACUUUGAUAAAUUGGACUUUAUGAAAAUUAAAAACUUAUAUGCUUCAAAGGGGCAGAGAAGCCAAAAGACACAAAAUGCAAAAUACAAUUACAAGGCAUGUAUGUGAUAACUAAAUAUUAUCUUAAGACACAUACAGAACAUGUGCACCCUACAGUAAAAAAAAACCUGAAUUUCUCGAAUGAACAAGAGAUUUAGAUAGAUAUCUUCCAAGGUAAGUAAAUGAAUGUCUAAUACACACAUGAGAUUAAAGUAAUCAAAAUCAAGGUGAGCAACUGCCUUAGAAGAAUAUUUCUCAAGAAGGCAAGACACAGAAAACAUAAAAGAGAGGCAACCUCUCCCUUUUAUACAAACUCGCUUUGAUUUGAAAAGAUGACCGUUGUAUCAGGCACUGAUAAAGGCAGAGCUUUGACAGUCCAUUGAAUUCUCUAAGGACCCAUCUUGUGCUGUCACAAUGGCAGCCAAACUCACCCUAUCAAGAAUCUAGGAGAGGACAUAAUAUUCCGUCCAUAGCAAGGAUUCUCGGGAGUCCCAAAUAAAUCUUUGGGAACUAUCGCUCUGAGCUCUUAUUUAUUUUAUGACUUUCUUCAUCCAAUUCUACACACUUCAAUCUCAGAUUUCAAGAAAUCUAUGUAUCUCCUUCAUAUUUCUGUUAUUUCCUUAGUUACAACAUAAAACUAGAGGAAAUAUCUUCCUGGAGUAACAUUCUCAUUAUGAAUCAAUGUGGCUAGCAGAAGAUAUUUUUUCACUUCAGCAGUCCUAGGUAAAAAAUAACUUAGUAUUACAUGUAUUACCCUGAAGAAACCCCCACUCCCUUAGUGAAAAAGGCAACCUUUCACAUUGCUUGACAUAAUUCCUCGGUAACCCCCAAGAAAAUAUUCCAUAUUGUCCAAUAGGCCCACCCUACAUGAAAUAUUUGGGGAUAAAGAACUUAAUUUUCAGUGUGUUAUUAAAUAUUAAAUAUCGUACAGUUUCCUGGUAUCUCCCUCACCAUGCAUAUUAUAUGUCACUGUGGUUUCUGGAAAACAAAAGAUCUCAUUGGGCCUGGUGGUGGUGACA